CAAACAAUAUAUUAAUUUAGGCCCAGGUUCCCAUAAAUUUUGACAUCAUAAUUCAAAACAUUUGACGUCACAACUUAGAAGUGAUUGUUACUUGACGUCAAAAGGUUAUUCGGUGGCACAAUACAGCUAAAUACCAAAAGUGUAAAUACGUUUAUUGUGCAAUGUUGUUGGCAACUACUCUGAAUGUCAUCCAAUCUAAAGUAGUGUUACAUAUCAUGUUGCAUUAGACUUACUCACAUGAUGACAUCAUUUUUUGAGUCAUGUACUUUAUAUUUUUGUAAAGACUAUUCUUUGUGUGCAUGAGGUAGCUUUUGUUUUUCAUCAUCUUUAGGUUGCUCAUGUUGGAAUAAUUAAUAUUGUAUGACUCUUAUUCCAUUAAUAUGAUGAGCAAAAGAUUAUAAACACUGUUAUAUGACUUGUCACUAUGUGGCUUUUGCAGAAUCUUUUACUCAUGUGAAGAUAUGGCAUUGUAUAGGCGGAUCCAGGGGGCAUCCCCUUUUUUGGGAAAAAUUUGGUUGAUUAUAUAGGGAAUCACUGAAGCAUGACUGGAGUGGGUCCCCUCUUAUAAAAAGUUCUAAAUCCUCUACUGCAUUGUGAUCAUAUUCUUCGCAUUAAUUAUUCCGUAUUUUACCAAUUUAAAAUAGACCUAAUUAUUGGCAGUCGACAUAUGACUCACUUGGAAAGGUUGCAGGGAAGUGGCUUGAUUCCAUGGUACCUUUCACAAAUUUUUAUUAAAUGGAACAUUUUGUGCUACUUAAUUCACUGACAGAAUCUGAUAUUUUGAAACAUUGGUUGAUAUUUUACAUUUUUUCAAAACCUUCAUCCAAAACAUAUAUCAAUUUUGAUGUUGAAAAAUCAACAUAAAAAUACUCUUCAUUCAAUUAUGUGUUAAAUGAAGCGUUAAAGGUGCAGUAUAAUCAAGUUUGUAAAAAAACAAUAGAUUUGAAUAAGUGCCAAACCUCCCAAAUUGUAAAUAGACCUUUUAUUUUCAUAUUGGCUUUUCCAGAAAUAAACAAACAGGGGUAGGAGUACUCAAAUAAGAAUGGUAAAGAGGAUUGGGGUAUGUGUGUGGUUUAAAAUAAAAGAUUGAUGAACAAUUAUCAAAAGUUGUGUAUAUUUCUGAAAAUUCAUUCAAUGUAUUUGUAUGCAACACCUAGGGGCAUUAUGUUUUUCAAUCUGUCCGUCUUUCUGUCCUGUUCAGGCUUAAGUUUUUGAUCAAAGUAGUUAUUGAUGAAGUUUAAGUCAAAUCAAUUUAAAACAUUGUACACAUGUUCCCCAUGAUAUGAUCUUUCUAAUCUUUUAAUGCCAAAUUAGAUAGUACAUGUAUCUUGACAGCAGAAUGAACUGAAAAUUAAAGUCUAAUAUUUUAAUCAAAAAUCUAUUAGAAACAUUUUAUUUGUUUGAUUGUCUUUUAAGAAAGUCUAUAUGAUGUCUAGAAAAUAAUCAUGUUAUACAACUUUUUCAACCUUUAUUGAUUUGAAAAUCUCCAUUCUUAUUUGAGGUCAGAGGUAUGUACCUCUUGUCCCUUACAAACCCCUUGUAUAUUGUUUCUGGAAUUGCAUCAAGUUGGUUAUUACAGCUUUCCAUUAAUGCUAUUUUGAUAUUUAUAUGAUAUGUUGUUUAUAAGUUUGACCUGGGUUUUAUCCAGGUUUACUUUUAAUGUGUCGACUGAAGAGUACUGCAAUUGAGGUAGAUAAUUGGGACCAACACACUCUCUAUUACUGUGGAUA
rnacentral:lncRNA from 1 species